rnacentral:rRNA from 1 species
UACGGGGGGAGCAAGCGUUGUUCGGAUUUACUGGGCGUAAAGGGCGCGUAGGCGGCGUGACAAGUCACUUGUGAAAUCUCCGGGCUUAACUCGGAACGGUCAAGUGAUACUGUCGUGCUAGAGUACAGAAGGGGCAACUGGAAUUCUCGGUGUAGCGGUGAAAUGCGUAGAUAUCGAGAGGAACACCUGCGGCGAAGGCGGGUUGCUGGGCUGAUACUGACGCUGAGGCACGAAAGCCAGGGGAGCGAACGGG